rnacentral:rRNA from 1 species
CCUACGGGCGGCAGCAGUAGGGAAUAUUGCACAAUGGGGGAAACCCUGAUGCAGCAACGCCGCGUGAAGGAUGAAGGUUUUCGGUUCGUAAACUCCUUUCGUUAGAGAAGAUAAUGACGGUAUCUAACGAAUAAGCACCGGCUAACUCCGUGCCAGCAGCCGCGGUAAUACGGAGGGUGAAAGCGUUACCCGGAUUCACUGGGGGUAAAGGGCGCGUAGGCGGGAUAGCAAGUCAGAUGUGAAAUCCCAUGGCUUAACCAUGGAACUGCAUUUGAAACUGUUAAUCUAGAGUAUGGGAGAGGUAGGUGGAAUUCUUGGGGUAGGGGUAAAAUCCGUAGAGAUCAAGAGGAAUACUCGUUGCGAAGGCGACCUGCUAGAACAUAACUGACGCUGAUGCGCGAAAGCGUGGGGAGCAAACAGGAUUAGAUACCCUAGUAGUC